rnacentral:misc_RNA from 1 species
CCAGUCAGCCACUCAGAAACGACACUUAAGCACAGGUAUCUGAAAAAGUAGCUUCACAAGUCUCGCUCGGAGCACUCACUCGUCGACGCCCGCACUGCCCAAAAGACGGUUGUGAGAUCGGCAAGCAUGUGGCUGCGUUGCUCCUGUCGUCUCUUCUUUCGCAUUCCUUCCCCAUCGCCGGCAGCUCCAGCGCGGCGUGUCGCUCCCAGGACUCCGCGGAUCCAUGGCCGUUCACAAGGUGGCGAGCCCGCUAACGCUAAUGUUGCUACUUCGAGCCCCCGCACGCCUGACUUGUUUGACAGCAGAUGUAAAGAUGACGGUGCGCGAUGCUACCACCACCAUCGCCGCCCACUAUGUCGACCCCUCAAGCCGGGCGACCCACUGCCACCGCCCCUAACGAGCGACCGCGAAUAUGCAUCCUCGGAUGGCUACACUUCUCAGCGUCAGGAAUACCGACAGCGCCGCAACGCCGCCGACAGCCCAGGAGACUCUCCGGUGGGCGAGUCAGUCGCUGGCUCGCUUUUCACACCGCUGCCUCGCUCCUAUGGUUUCUAUGACGGCAUUGACGAGCACGCGCGGGAGGCGCCACGCCCGUCGCGCGAGGCCCGACAGCAGCUGCUGCGCGAGUCGCUCGAGGCGCAAGCCGCCUCUGCUGUCGAGUUCACCGACGGCGGCGAGGACGACAUCGAGCUAAAUGGCUUGCCAGCGAAUCAGUACCAUGGCCACGAAGGGUGGACAACAAUCCCGAAGGACUCGGCGCUCUACAACACCUUGUACGGCGCGGGCGAUUUGGAGUCGCGCCAGCGCGCGAACUCGUGGACCGUGGCGAUGCGUCACGGCAGGGUGGGUGGCAGCGUCAGUGUGGGCGGUUUGUUGGGCGACUCGGCGGCCGCAUCUGCGCAGCGUCCCGGCACGCACCACGAAGACGAGCAUACGGAUCAAGAGGUGCUCGACGACCGCCGACGCCGCCGGCAGCACGAUGACGGGCUCUUGUCGACAGCUUUGGAGGGGGAGCUGCUGGCUCCAAUGCAGGAGAGCGUGGGGCAGCCGCGAAGCACAUACGCGAUGCGGAAGCUGUUCGUGGAUGGUCUUGUAGGAUAUCAAGGCGUGAUAACGAGAGCGGAGGAGGCCACGAUGAGCGAGGAGCUGUUGCACCUCCUGCAGGAUCCUCGGGCCGCUUACGUCGCCGAGGAGGCGCGCUACUGCGUCAACCUCUAUGAGACGGAGCUUGGCAUUCCUGGGAAGGACACCCUCGCUUUCGCGCUUUCGAGCUGCCAGGCACUGCAGCGGGUGCUUUACCGCUUCUUCUUUCUGGGUCUGAUCCCUUCCGUGCCCAAUGUGUGCCAGGUUAGUGAAAUGGUGGGCACCUUCAGCGGCUACCCUGUGCACCGCCACCCGCCGUCGAUCGGUUCCUACGUGGGGAUGCUGAACCUGGUCUCCACGAGCGUGCUGCACCUUCAGCACAAGGACGCGCCGUGGUACCCUCGCCUCCAUCUCACCCCACGCAGCCUCUUCGUGGUAUCUGAGCCGUGCCUGAGCGAGUACGCGAUGGGGUACAAGCAAACGCAUCAGCCGUUCCACGCUUUCGAGUACGCGACGCGCGUCUCCAAGGACUACCGCAUCGAGGUGCUCUUCGCCACGGUCGAGACAGCGCAGACGAGGACCCUAUCCGAGGCAGUACAGCUGACCGAGUACGCAGAACGACAGGCGCGAGAAGGAAAAGCAAAGCUGUUGACCGGGACGUCGAAACCUCUCGCAGAGGCGCGCACACACACCACUGUGACACCAACAGAGUCGGUCACCGGCGUUCCUCUUCGCGGGCGUGCAGACGAGUGGCUGCAACGCCUGCGAGACAGUAUGCACGCGUCCGAGGAAGCGAGGGGCUAUGGGCACGCGAAGCCUCUGGAUGGGCACGCGCUGCGACGCCAGCUGCUUGCGGAACGUUUGGUUGGUGAUCGGCCUCGCUUGGACAGCGAGUGCGGGAGUGUUGGCUGGAGGAGUGGGGCGGGCCUUGACGAGGUCGCUAACGCGAAGGGGGCAGAGGCGCAGGCAGAGACGAGGCAUCAUGAAAACGAUGCAUCGCCCUGUGACAAGACGACGGCCUCUGCAGCACACCGGCGACUGGCGGCGCUCAAGGCACGCUACAACUUUGCACAGGAGCUGAAGGCAUCACGACAGCGGGUAGAGGUGACCAACGAUGGGCCGCGGCUUCUUCGAGGCCACGCACCACGGGACCGGCGACUGGGUAUUAGAUAAAGGUGACCACACACAAACACACACCGCACACCCCCACCUCCUUUCUCCGUCUUCGUCAUCGCUUCGCGCGCCUUAAUAACUUUCAACCCUUUCGCAGAUGCGGAACUGCUCGAGACACGUGAGCAGAGACU